GCAGCUUGCUGCUUUGCUGAACGAGUGGCGGACGGGUGAGUAAUGUCUGGGAAACUGCCUGAUGGAGGGGGAUAACUACUGGAAACGGUAGCUAAUACCGCAUAACGUCGCAAGACCAAAGAGGGGGACCUUCGGGCCUCUUGCCAUCGGAUGUGCCCAGAUGGGAUUAGCUUGUUGGUGGGGUAACGGCUCACCAAGGCGACGAUCCCUAGCUGGUCUGAGAGGAUGACCAGCCACACUGGAACUGAGACACGGUCCAGACUCCUACGGGAGGCAGCAGUGGGGAAUAUUGCACAAUGGGCGCAAGCCUGAUGCAGCCAUGCCGCGUGUAUGAAGAAGGCCUUCGGGUUGUAAAGUACUUUCAGCGGGGAGGAAGGGAGUAAAGUUAAUACCUUUGCUCAUUGACGUUACCCGCAGAAGAAGCACCGGCUAACUCCGUGCCAGCAGCCGCGGUAAUACGGAGGGUGCAAGCGUUAAUCGGAAUUACUGGGCGUAAAGCGCACGCAGGCGGUUUGUUAAGUCAGAUGUGAAAUCCCCGGGCUCAACCUGGGAACUGCAUCUGAUACUGGCAAGCUUGAGUCUCGUAGAGGGGGGUAGAAUUCCAGGUGUAGCGGUGAAAUGCGUAGAGAUCUGGAGGAAUACCGGUGGCGAAGGCGGCCCCCUGGACGAAGACUGACGCUCAGGUGCGAAAGCGUGGGGAGCAAACAGGAUUAGAUACCCCUGGUAGUC
rnacentral:rRNA from 1 species